rnacentral:lncRNA from 1 species
CUUAUUUACCUUCAAUAUUUAUGCAACUUGAUCUUUCUAUAAUUAUUAUUUUGCUUUUAGAAUCAAUUAAGGCCUGUUGCUUUUAAAUUGCUUGAGUAAUAUAUUGUUUGAAUAAUUUAGGUCCGUAAUUGCUUAGAUUAUUUAAACACAAAUAUAAUCGGUUGCAUAAUCUAAACUUGACCACGCGGUUGGCAAGGUUAG